rnacentral:ncRNA from 2 species
GCUUCGAGACAGGGGUGGCUUAAAACAAGAGCCUGAGAUCAUACCCUUUGAACCUGAUGCGGAUAAUGCCGUCGAAGGGAGCCGGAAUUCUGAAAUU